rnacentral:rRNA from 1 species
GAUGAACGCUAGCGGCAGGCCUAAUACAUGCAAGUCGAACGGAUAUAUGUUUUUCGGAAUAUAUAUUAGUGGCGCACGGGUGAGUAACACGUACAUAACUUGCCCUCAAGCGGGGGAUAGCCUUGGGAAACUGAGAGUAAUACCCCAUAGAAUUAUUGGACGGCAUCGUUUGAUAAUUAAAACUACGGUGUUUGGGGAUAGAUGUGCGUCUGAUUAGCUAGUUGGUGAGGUAACAGCUCACCAAGGCGACGAUCAGUAGGGGGCGUGAGAGCGUGGCCCCCCACACGGGUACUGAGACACGGACCCGACUCCUACGGGAGGCAGCAGUAAGGAAUAUUGGUCAAUGGAGGGAACUCUGAACCAGCCAUGCCGCGUGAAGGAUGACGGCCCUCUGGGUUGUAAACUUCUUUUGGAUGGGGCGAAAAAACGGGNUUUAUCCUGGACUGACGGUACCAUCAGAAUAAGCACCGGCUAACUCCGUG